AGGGUCAAACAGUAGUCAGAAUCCAGACCAGGACCAGCAGUGGUACCAAGCUUUACAAGGAGGGUCAUCAGCACAUGUCUAUGACACCAUAAAUACAGCUGAGCAGACUAUGGAAGAGGAUGCUGUCUACUC